AUCGAACGCUGGCGGCAGGCCUAACACAUGCAAGUCGAGCGGAUGAAGCGAGCUUGCUCCUGGAUUCAUCGGCGAACGGGUGAGAAAUGCCUAGGAAUCUGCAUUGACGUCGGGGAUAACGUCCGAAAACGGGCGCUAAUACCCCAUACGACCUGUGGGAGAAUUUGGGGGAUCUUCGGUCGUCACGCUAUCAUAUGAGCCUAGGUCGGAUUCGCUAGUUGGUGGCGUAAAGGCCUAACAAGGCGACGAUCCGUAACUGGUAUGAGAGGAUGAUCAGUCACACGGUAAGUGAGGCAGAGUCCAGACUCCUACACUAGGACGCAGUGCGGAAUAUUACGCGAUGGAGGAGAGCGUAAUCCAGGCCUGCGGGGUGUGUGAAGAUGGUCUUAGGACUGUAAAGCGAUGUAAGUUGGGAGGAAGGGCAGUAAGUUAAUACCUUACUAUAUUGACGGUACCAACAGAAUAAGCUCCGGCUAACUUCGUG
rnacentral:rRNA from 1 species